rnacentral:rRNA from 1 species
CAAGCCUGAUCCAGCAAUGCCGCGUGCAGGAUGAAGGCCUUCGGGUUGUAAACUGCUUUUGUACGGAACGAAAAGCCUCUCUCUAAUACAGGGGGGUGAUGACGGUACCGUAAGAAUAAGCACCGGCUAACUACGUGCCAGCAGCCGCGGUGAUACGUAGGGUGCGAGCGUUGUCCGGAAUUAUUGGGCGUAAAGAGCUUGUAGGCGGUCCGUCACGUCGGAAGUGAAAACUCAGGGCUUAACCUCGGGCUUGCAGUGGGUACGGGCUGACUAGAGUGCGGUAGGGGUGACUGGAAUUCCUGGUGUAGCGGUGGAAUGCGCAGAUAUCAGGAGGAACACCGAUGGCGAAGGCAGGUCACUGGGCCGCAACUGACGCUGAGGAGCGAAAGCAUGGGGAGCGAACA